rnacentral:lncRNA from 1 species
AUGAGUGUGGCGUCCAGGGGGUUUAGACGGCAAAGCCCCGCCAAGAGAAGAAGGGAGAUGCCGACCACAUCGAAUACCGUUGAGGGACCGAGUGGGAGGAGGAGGAAACACCGUUCACUGACUUCAGCCUCGUACUUGCCGUUGGAGGCUUUAAUAAGCCCGAGUGGAAGAGCUUUCAGGAAGGAUGAGUCGUGCCAGGGAAACAGCAAGUGUAACGCUUUGCCAUGUGAGAUGAUUCGAGAUACAGAUGCUGCCCAAUUUCUACCAUCUCAUUAAAUUUAUGAAGCAUUUAGUGUUUGAAGAAUCCCAGUUACAACCCAAAGCACCGACUUUGAUGGGGACGUUCCAGACACUGUUGGAAGUUAGAAUUCAGAUGGGCCGAGGAGACCUUGAUGGAGUGCCUCACCUGUAUCAUGGUAGGGACUGUCUGUUUUGCAGCAUAUAAAGUGUGCUGUAAGGGCAGGUGUUUCCUCCAAGAAGAAAAGAAUCAUUUGCAUGCAGGAAAAUGUGUGGUGAUAAGACAUUUCAAAA